CUUUCCGCUCUGUCUUCUGUACAUGCACCUGCUCAGGUGAGACCUCAAGGAAAAAUAAUCCCGUGGGUCCAUCUUAUCUGGUUGUUUCCAACCACAUUGUCUACAAUUAUGGCAAUCAAUAGGCAUCAAAGAGUUGAAUAAAAAGAAUCUUUCUUUAUAUCAUCAUCAUCAUCAAUCACUGUCAUCACCAUAUCAUAAUGGGUAUCAUAUCUUAAAAAUAGAAAGACUUUCAUAUUCUUCAGGAAGUAAUUUGAAUGUAGAUCAUAGCUUUUUAUUUUAUUUAAAAAUGUUUAGCAUGAACUAAUAUGAAAAUUAUAUUUUAUUCAACCACCAGAGGGAGCUCCCAAAUAUAUGGAUUCUAAAAGGGAAGGAGUAGUAAUUAAGUAGGCAGCUUUCUAUGUUUUUUAGUUGAAAAUCAGAGAUUUAAUCAGCUGUGUGUCACGGUUUUGUGGGAUCAUGUGUUGGGUUUUAGUACAUCAAGUGCUUAAAAUCUUGUCCUACUAUAGAUCAUCUUAAUUGUUAUUGAAUAAUAAUCUUGUUUUUAUAUUUUUUUAAAAGUUUGAGUAAUUGUGUUAUUUUAACUUUAUAUUCUAAUUUUGGACAAUAUUGAUUAAUGCCAUGCUUUGCAAAUAUAAUUAUACUUCCUGACUUCCUCUCUUAGGUAUUCAUUUUUCUUAAGUUGUGUUUUUAUACUGUCAAAUUUAUGAUACAUUCUUUUUUGUAACCAUAAAUUCAAUGCUGACACAUCUCGUUUUUGUAUUUAUUUGCUUUGAUGUAUUGCUUGACUUGUUAAAUUUUAUUUUUAAAUAGUUUAUUUGAGAAGAGUCUUUGGGAUCUAGAAUCCUUGAUAUCUUUCAUGUUUGGGAAGGACUGCUUGCUGCUUUACACAUGUAUGACAUAUAGAGUGGGCAUAACAUUGUGAGGUCAUAUUUUCUUUCUCUCAUCUAUGAUUUAAUAUUCUCCCUAGGAGAAUGAAGUCUUCCAAUUUUUUUUUCACUAAUAUUAUGUGGGCAUGGAAUGGGAGGAAAGGAAAUUAUCCAGUUGUUUCCUGGAGGCAGAGCAAGUCCCUGCAGAGCUGGCUGCCCUCAGUGAUGAUGAGUUUUAUAUCUCCCAAAACAUCCCAAUUCUUAAAUGUCUAGCAUCUUGUAAGUAACCUUCCCAGUCAUGUUUCAUCAUAGCUUGCUGAGUUCUGUCUCUCCUCUUUUAUAUGGAUUUAUUGAGAUACAAUUGAUUAAAAAAACUGUGCAAUUUGAUAUAAUUGAUAAAUUAGAAACUAUGUAAUUUGAUGUGUUUGGACGUAUGUAUACAUUGGCAAUGCUAUCACCACAAUCAAGAUAAUAAACAUAUCUAUCAUCUCCAAAUGUUUUCCUCUGUCCCCUUGACCCAGCACUUUUUUUGUGGUAAAAGCACUUAGCAUGGCAAUCUGGGGAGAAGCAGUCCCUGGAACCAUUAUCUUUAUCUGUUGUCUCUGUACCCUACUUUAAAAUGUCUGAAAGUUUUCUUACACAGUAUGUGGAAAUUAUCAGUCACAAAGGUUAAACAAAUUGCCCAAGGCCAAGGAGUAGAUGAGUGAGAGACUUGGGAGUGGAUCCAGAACUUUUAACUGUUCAGUUGAUAUAUUGCCUUCCAUUGCUUCAAAAAGCUGCGAGCUGCCCUGCUUCUUCCCAACACACUUGACUCAAGUCAGGUAUUUAAAUUCCCAUUUCUAAGCUGAAGUCAAUGGUAUUUCCAUAACUAGGAUGUUUGUUGCCACAACAGAAAAAAUGACUUAUAAGCAAUGAAUAGAGGUGAAAUAUAUUCAUUAAGAGUCAGUGCUGAUACAUUCCAUCUUUCUUCACUUCCUUUAACUUCUUAUUUUCUCCAGGCUGCUUACAAAUGUAUUCAAUGUGUUAACAAAAAAUUUAAUAAAGACAGUGCCAGAAUAUCAGCAUUUGGAAAAAAGAAAAAUACUUUCUAUUUGGUGUUAGCAUAACUGUCCAUUUUAAUUAGGUGUAUAUCUCUCUGUGGAUAAUUAAAAUGCUAUCUGUAAAUAAAGUAAAAUAUUAAAUAUAUGAUGUCACCAUUUUGAUUUAUGUUUUUCCACAAAGCACAACCACUGUCUAACAAAUGUGGAUUUGACAGAUUGAUAAUUAUGGUCUCUGCCAGGUCAAAUGAGCUCAUUUCCCUUAAAACCUUAAAAGCUUGAGCAAUAAUAUGGUCUCCCAGACACAAAGAGGAAACAGCAAGCCUCUUGACUCCAUCGUGAUUGUUUCCUGGGCAAGCGUGUUUCCCAGCUGCAAUCACAGAUGCCCAAAAUCUAUGCCAGUGUCAGGCCCUGCCAUGCUGUAGCUCCCUUCAGGGGGCAUCUCAACCGCUAUUUUCCCCUCCUCUAGUCCUCUACUGAACCUGCCACACCUUCUAAGAAAACCAGAGGGCAGGUUCUGUGCUACUGCAUGGACCCUCCACACACUGUAACCUGCAGGAAUGUAGACAUUUGACUGCUGCCUCCUCAGUUUACCACAGGGGGCAGACACUGACUGAAAAAGAGGUCCAAGAAAUAAAUUCCCACGGAACAGCAGGGAGAUGCAAAAUGUAAAUAAAUAAAAUAAAUCUUAAAACAUGUACUCUGGUGCCGCCUUUAAUAGUACAUAUCAUGAGAUAGGGUUUAUUUCACUUAUUUACAAAUAAACAACUCUUCAUUAUUGCUGAAGAUGUAGGAACUUAAGGUUUAAAGUUAGGGUGACUUAAAAUUUCUCUGCAGAGAAUGACUUCUGCGUAGUGUUUACUUUUUUACAUUUUGAGUUUCAAAUUUAAUGCUUCUAUGAAUAUGUUUCACUCAAAUGUUCCAGCGUUGUUAUAAUACCCUAAAUGAAUAAUGCAUUUCUUAGAAAAGAUCUUUUCCGAAGGAGAAAGCACUAUGAACAUUCACUUUAUCUUCCUUUACCAGUCAAUGAUUUUUAUCCUUUACUACACUUUUAAAAUACCUAACAAAGGUGGAUAAAACAUUUUUAUUCUUAAUCAGUGGAGCUACAUGCAAAAUUCAAAACUCAAAUCUGUGGGAAGCAUUAUGAAGAAAUAUUACUACUCUUUGUCAGUCUGCACAGACUUGUCUACACUAUCCUAACAUUGUUUUUAGCAUGGUAGAGACAAGGAUAAACCAUGAAGCCUACCUGUUGGGAUCUGAAAUAUUGCUUCACCACUUCCUAUCUUGAGCAUAUUAGUUAAUUUUUCUGUACCUCAGUUUUCUCAUGUCUACAAUGGAGGUAAUAAUAUUACUUGUGUUGUUAUGAAGACCAAAUGAGUUACUAUUUAUAAAUUAUGCCUACUAAUUAAAAAAA